rnacentral:rRNA from 1 species
GUGGGAUCAGUGGCGAACGGGUGAGUAACACGUGAGCAACCUGCCCCUGACUCUGGGAUAAGCGCUGGAAACGGCGUCUAAUACUGGAUAUGUGACGUGACCGCAUGGUCUGCGUCUGGAAAGAAUUUCGGUUGGGGAUGGGCUCGCGGCCUAUCAGCUUGUUGGUGAGGUAAUGGCUCACCAAGGCGUCGACGGGUAGCCGGCCUGAGAGGGUGACCGGCCACACUGGGACUGAGACACGGCCCAGACUCCUACGGGAGGCAGCAGUGGGGAAUAUUGCACAAUGGGCGCAAGCCUGAUGCAGCAACGCCGCGUGAGGGACGACGGCCUUCGGGUUGUAAACCUCUUUUAGCAGGGAAGAAGCGAAAGUGACGGUACCUGCAGAAAAAGCGCCGGCUAACUACGUGCCAGCAGCCGCGGUAAUACGUAGGGCGCAAGCGUUAUCCGGAAUUAUUGGGCGUAAAGAGCUCGUAGGCGGUUUGUCGCGUCUGCUGUGAAAUCCGGAGGCUCAACCUCCGGCCUGCAGUGGGUACGGGCAGACUAGAGUGCGGUAGGGGAGAUUGGAAUUCCUGGUGUAGCGGUGGAAUGCGCAGAUAUCAGGAGGAACACCGAUGGCGAAGGCAGAUCUCU